rnacentral:rRNA from 1 species
CCUACGGGGGGCUGCAGUGGGGAAUAUUGCACAAUGGGCGCAAGCCUGAUGCAGCCAUGCCGCGUGUGUGAAGAAGGCCUUCGGGUUGUAAAGCACUUUCAGCGGGGAGGAAGGCGGUGAGGUUAAUAACCUCAUCGAUUGACGUUACCCGCAGAAGAAGCACCGGCUAACUCCGUGCCAGCAGCCGCGGUAAUACGGAGGGUGCAAGCGUUAAUCGGAAUUACUGGGCGUAAAGCGCACGCAGGCGGUCUGUCAAGUCGGAUGUGAAAUCCCCGGGCUCAACCUGGGAACUGCAUUCGAAACUGGCAGGCUAGAGUCUUGUAGAGGGGGGUAGAAUUCCAGGUGUAGCGGUGAAAUGCGUAGAGAUCUGGAGGAAUACCGGUGGCGAAGGCGGCCCCCUGGACAAAGACUGACGCUCAGGUGCGAAAGCGUGGGGAGCACACAGGAUUAGAUACCCCAGUAGUC